CUGGAAGGCGGAUCCCAGGAAACCCUCCCCGGGGGCCUGUCCAAAACCCCCGCUGCUGUGAGGCCACUCCCACCCCCACUCGGGACCCAGCUCUCAGGGAACAUUCUGAUGAGGACCAUCUAUGUCUGAGUGUAAACUUUCACUCAGACUGAGUGCCCAGUCUCCAGUCGUGUCCAGCUCUUUGUGACCCUGUGGACUGUAGCCCACCAGGCUCCUCUGUCCAUGGGGACUCUCCAGGCAAGAAUACUGGAGUGGGUCGCCAUGCCUGCCUCCAGGGGGUCUUCCCCACCCAGGGAUCGAACCGAGUUCUCCUAAAUCUGCAUUGGCAUGCAGGUUCUUUACCACUAGCGCCACCUGGACUCUGGGCUGCAGGAUACUAAAGCUAGAUCAGCUCUCCUUCCCGUCUGCAGGCCAUACCUGCAAAGCCCCCUUCCCAGGUAACAUGACAUAUCUCUCGGUUCCAGGAAUUAGGAUGGAGGCAUCUUUGGGAACCUUUAUCCAGUCAGCAACAGGGGGUGGUCCCGUGAGCAGAUUGGCUGUCAGAGAAUGCAGGGGGUGCCCACUGGCCUGCCCCUUUUGGACAAGCAGGUCUGAGUGGGCAGCAUCUGCCUAGCAGAGGGAGGCCCAGCUUCCCAAUGUGUCUGUUCUGAGACAGCAGGUCUUCCUGUCCAGGCAGUGCCUGUGAGAGGAGGGAGGAGACAGGGUGAAUGGCGAGUGGUUCCUUCAUAUGUUUCUUCCAAGUGAGCCUUGCGGUGGUCCCAGUGGGCAGGGCGGAGGCUGGGCGGUCCUGGGCCUCUUUGACCUGCAGGUGGCUGUCCCUGAGAGCCUGCAGGUGAUGAGGACACCACAGAGACGGAAGUGGUGGCACCUCAGUGUCUGCAGAGGCCCCCCGGAGGAAUAAUAGUCGUUCCCCCUUGUCCGCCACUUGGAGUGGCUGGGUCCUCCCACCAGGGGUCGGGACCAAUCGGUUGCACCUGCGUUCAUCACGCGCGCACUCGGGCAGAGCAAGAAAUAGGGCUGUCUAUCCGGUGUGAGCCGCUGCCCUGUGGGUGCCUGGCUUCGAGUCUGGGGCACAGAGGAGAGUAGAAGGGGGCCUCAGCCCCCACAGUGGAGGGCUCCAGCUGGGGGUAGCAGGGCAGUGAAGGGGGCCUCAGCCCCUACAGUGGAGGACUCCAGCUGGGGGUAGCAGGGCAGCGAGCUUGGGGGCCCGCCAGGGCUGCCAGGGCUUUCUGUCCACCUCCAGCUCCGAGCAGGCCCUUUAAGGUCAGGCCCGGGUCAGAUCCAGAAGCACGUGGCCUGGAGCCUGGGCCUCCCAAGUCUCAGGACUUUCCCAAGACCUCCGUGAGGUAGUGGGGGACCCUGCCCUGCACUUCCCUGAGAAAUUCCCUUCUCCCAGAGCAGAGAAAGCCCAGGUCCUGGGAAUAAGGCUGGAAGGCUUCCAGCAUCUUCUCCUGGAGUCAUGGGCCAUCUUUCUUCACCAUUCUUCCCCUGAAAGGCACAGUCUGACUUGCACCCAACAAACUUGGCCCCCGAAGAGGACAGUGUGGGGAGGGGGCGUGGGGCCAGCCCUGGGCCUGGAGCCAGAUGAGCUGGGUUCAAGGCCGGGGUUGUGUCCACCCCAUCUCCUCGCGGACACCUCAGGCCCUGGUAAUGGUACAUGAAAGUAUAAAGUGAGGAUCCGAGAGGCUAUCCGUCUACCUGAGGUCCCACAGUUCAGAUCCCUGGAAAGAAAGAGCAGAAUGUCAAUUCAGAAGUUUUCCUUUAUAUCUUCCAAGUCAGAGCUCUUAACCAUGCUACGGCGUACAUUCCCCACACUCAUCAGCUUCCCCCUCCCCAGCCGCCUGUCUGCAUGUCACGUGUCAGCCCCAUCUCUGAUACCCUUAGGCACAGGGCAGCAGUUUCUGGGUCUUCUGGGCAGAGGUUUCCGCAGACCUGCCCAUCUAGGGGUCUAGGUGGUGACCGGAGCUUCUAGGGGAAAACAAAGGGAAGGAGACACAGAUUUGUUCGGCCAGAUGGGUUUUGCCACUGAGACUCCUGCCGGCAGAGGAGUCCUCCAAGUCCUGGGCUGGCCAAGCCUCCCACUCACAGGACCAAGCAGCCUUUAGGGGGCUGGCUGUGGGGGCUUUGGAGUCACAACAGAAAUGGACAGGCUGUCCCUGGACUCAGCCCUGCCCGGUGGCCUCAAAGGCACCAAGGGGACACCCAGCUAGAAAGUCUGCAGAGUCCUCAUUUAACUUUUUAGCAGGGGUUUUCGGAGCAUCUACUUUGCACGAGGCUCUGGGCCAGGCAUUAGGGCGGGUGGGAGGCUGCUCAUCUGCUCAUUCAGUGAUGGCUUCACUGGUUCUUUCACCACGUAUUUAUGGGGCCCUGACUGUGUGAAGUGGGGGUGGGAGAGGGCAAAGGUCAGAGGUCAGAGGCCCGGAUGAAGCCCAGAGCUGUGUCCACGGUGGGCAGGAUGGGCUGGGUGAGGUCAGAAUUCUCAGAGCAUCUGUAAAUCCUUCUUAACCACAUACACGUUCUUAAACAUUUGAUUUUUACUUAAAAUAUUUAAAGUACAUUCAUGUAUCUGUCUUCUGAUAUAAGGGCCAAAGCCUUUUGCCCAAACAUGAGUCUGCAGAUUGGAGUUUCGGGUCGCCUUUGUGGCCAAAACCAGAUGGUGCUGAAUCAGCUGGUUUCUGGUUUUCGUUCUCUAAAGGGGCAUGAGAACUGAGAGGCCCUUGCGAAGCGUCGGCAGGCAGAGUCUUUCGUCAUCCGUGUAGUUACUCCCCUCGUGUGCUGGGACUUACCAACCCUUCCGACCUGGUUUUCAGAAAGUGACUCAUAUUUUGCGCUUGUAUUUCAUUUGUUUACAUCAGCAGUUCUCAAGGUGUGGUCCAAGGAUGCUGGCGACCCCAAGACCCUUUCAAGAGAUCCACCAGGCAAAGCUAAGACUCUUCAUGACCAUACCAAGGCGUUGUUCACCCUUUAUCCUCUCAUUUCCUCUUGAAAGUACAAAUGAUGAAUUCUAGAGGCUGCAGCCCGCUCUGAUAGCUGAUGGACUACACGCUUGCGCAUUCAUGGGCUUUGAAAGUCUUUCCACCUUAAUUUCUCCUGUAGGGAAGCCUGGUGUUCUGCAGGCCAUGGGAUCGCAGAGAGUUGGACACAACUGAGCGACUGAACAACAGCAAAUACUGAUAGAUGUGAACCAUAUAAACAGAAGCUUUUUGGGAAUCUUCACUAAUUUUUAAGAGUGUAAAGGAGUCUGGCUACCAAACAGUUUGAGAACUGCUAGUUUCUAUAUUUAUUAAAUCACACAUGUCUGAUAUCAAGCACAACUGGCAUAAGAAAGACGGGAAUAAGCGUAACUGACUUGUAAUAAACACAGAGUUGCCUGGAGGGCAUUUUUCAGAAAGGCCAAGAGCACUAAGCCUGCCCUGAGCAUCGGCUAGGAUGCUGCGGGAUAAGGAGACAGGCACCUGUCUGUGCGGAGGGAGACGAGAGGCAUCCACAGUACCUGAGGUGACGGAGUGACAGCGAUGCUGCUGUUAUGGAACACACGCUGAGCGCCAGGCCCUGUGCUCAGCGUCUCCGUGGACCCUCACCACCACUGUGAGAGAGGUCCUCUGCUUGUACAGACAGUGGAUCCUGGGGACACACAGGCUGUUCCUUCCUCCACCCUCAGAUACCCAGCCAUGGAGCGAUGUUCCUGAGAGGAAGGCCAAGAGCGCCUGGAGAGAGAACUGAACUGGGAGCUUGGUGAUCUGGAUGACCCUGAGCAAGUGGUUUGACUUCUCCGAACCCUGGUUUCCCCAACUUCUGAGCAGUGUGGGGGACCUGGAGGACUGCAAGGGGCCUCAGAUCUGCGAUUUUAUUGCCUUUUGAGAACUUGCCACAUUCCCCAAGCUGCUUCCAUGCCCAACGUGUUUUGCAGAGAAAGUGUCUGGAGAAGAGAUUGGGGCGGGUGUGGCAACCCCCUCCCCAUUCUUCAGGGAUUCCAGGAAGCCAGCCCUGGGAGUAGGAGGCUCCCACUGACAUGCAGCCCUGUGCUGCCCCCGUGUGACCCGUGUGGGCACUGCACCAGGAAAACAUUUCUCACCAACCUCUCUGAGGGGCUACCCUGACAGAUGCCCGUCACCAACCUGGCUGGCCCGCUCGACCUCCCGCUGUCUUCUGCUCACCUCUCACCUGGGCCAGGGAGCUCCUGGUGACCAAGGGUCAUCCUAGGAUGAGGACGCCCCAGGGUGGAAGGGCUAAGAUCUCUGAUCAGCCAACCAGGCGAGCUGUUCUGGAGGUGCCACUGUGUGGCAGAGAAGGGAUUUCAGGGGCCCCAGAGGUGCUCACACGUGCUUCUUGGUCUCCAGGCCCUUCCCAACCCCCGUCUAAGCUAAGAGGCCUGCAGGCCAUGUAGGAUCAUGCCCGUCAUGCCUUUAGAGAAAGGGGGGCUGGGAAAGGGCCAGACUGACUCCCAGCCCAGUGGUCCAUUCGCUCCAUCUGGGGCCACCCCGACACAGAGCUGAUGCACUGAGCUGAGACCCUUUUGCCCUUUGAGACUGGUGGUGGUCAGACACCCGCCCCCCACCAGCCCCUCCCCGUCUCGGUCCUUCCCACAUGGAUGCC
ensembl:lncRNA